GGCCUCGUGGCCUAGUGGUGCGAGCGUCCACCUUGGAUACGGAAGGUCGCUGGUUCAGUCCCCGGCUGAGUCAUACCA